GCUCGCAAGAGUGAAACGCAAAGGAAUUGACGGGGACCCGCACAAGUAGCGGAGCAUGUGGUUUAAUUCGAAGCAACGCGAAGAACCUUACCUAAGCUUGACAUCCCAAUGACAUCUCCUUAAUCGGGGAGUUCCCUUCGGGGACAUUGGUGACAGGUGGGGCAUGGUUGUCGUCAGCUCGUGUCGUGAGAUGUUGGGUUAAGUCCCGCAACGAGCGCAACCCUUGUCUUUAGUUGCCAUCAUUAAGUUGGGCACUCUAGAGAGACUGCCAGGGAUAACCUGGAGGAAGGUGGGGAUGACGUCAAAUCAUCAUGCCCCUUAUGCUUAGGGCUACACACGUGCUACAAUGGGUAGUACAGAGGGUUGC
rnacentral:rRNA from 1 species